rnacentral:rRNA from 1 species
AUGGAUCUCAUGGAUUCAGAAAGCCAAGCCAUGGAUUCGGCGUCGCUGCUGCCACCAGAUGGAAGGAGGUUAGCCUGGAUGAGCCCCCUCUAUUCCUCGCCAGUGCACCCACUGGACGACGAGGACCUCCUCCAGGAGAUUCUCCUCCGCCUGCCUUCCCUCGUCUGCCCGCGCUGGCAUCGCAUCCUCUCCGACCCCAAGUUCAUCAAACGAUUCCGUAGACACCACCCGAAACCCCCGCUUCUUGGUUUCUUCUUCUCUGAAACGGGCUUUCCCACCGUCUUCAAUCCUAUUCUCGACCCGCCCGAUCGAAUCCCUGCUGAGUGCUUCUCCUUGCCCAAGAAUAGAUUCAAUGCCAGGCAGUACUUUCUUGGUUGCCGCCAUGGCCUCGCCAUCCUAACCAACUUGCACCUCUGCGAGAUUAUCGUGUGGGAUGCCCUCAGUGGCCAACAACACCGCGUGGGUUUUCCACCGGGGCUUGACAACAACAAAGUGACGUACGGGCAUGCCGAACUGUUGUGCGCUGAUGCCGAAGAUGGGCACGUGCACGGGGAUUGCUUCUCGAGCCCGUUCAAAUUGGUCGCAAUCUAG